CCUACGGGUGGCAGCAGUGAGGAAUCUUAGUCAAUGGCCGUAAGGCUGAACCAGCCAAGUCGCGUGAAGGAAGAAGGAUCUCUGGUUUGUAAACUUCUUUUAUAGGGGAAUAAAGGUAUCCACGUGUGUGUAUUUGCAUGUACCCUAUGAAUAAGCAUCGGCUAACUCCGUUCCAGCAGACGCGGUACUAUGGAGGAUGCAAGCGUUAUCCGGAUUUAUUGUGUUUAACGGUAGCGUAGGUUGUUUUUUAAGUCAGCGGUGAAAGUUUGUGGAUCAACCAGAAAAUUGCCGUUGAAACUGGAAGACUUGAGUGUGUUUGGGGUAGGCGGAAUGCGUGGUGUAGCGGUGAAAUGCAUAGAUAGCACGCAGAACUCCGAUUGCGAAGGCAGCUUACUAAGCCAUAACUGACACUGAAGCACGAAAGCGUGGGGAGCAAACAGGAUUAGAUACCCGUGUAGUC
rnacentral:rRNA from 1 species